rnacentral:lncRNA from 1 species
CCAUUGGGAAUACGUGGAGACCUUUUUGCAACAAUGUCGAUUCCCUAAAUAAACUUAAAAAAAAGCACAACGCUUCAUCACAUCUUUAGCGAUGAUCUACCCCUCAAAGAACGUAUCUAAAAUCUCCUACCUAACAAUCCUGAAAGCUUUGAAUUAAAGCAUUAUGUUAUUAAAGGAUUGAAUUGAAGUCCACUUAUGUGAAUUAAAUAAUAUUCUUAAAGUAUGAUAUUAUUGUACUCUUAUAAUUAAAGCCCACUCAUAUAUGUAGUUGAGAAUAUGGAUG